AUCAAUCACCAGCCGGCAGCCGGGUGAGGAGCGUGCCUUUGAAGAGAGAGGAUCGUGGUUCCUUAGGGCUGGAGGGGAACUCAGGCGUCGGGUCCAGUUUCCUCAUUUUUACGGACGAGGAAACUGAGUCCCGAAGAGAAAAGAGACUUGUAUCAUCAUCAUAAAUAAUAAUAAUAAACUGAGUCCUAAAGAGAAGUGACUUGUAUUAUAAUAACAAACUGAAUCCCGAAGAGAAAAGUGACAUAUGAUGAGGAAGAUGAGGAUGAGGAUGAUGAGUAUGGAAAAGAAAAGUGACAGGAAGUAAAUAUGUUCCCUCAUUUGAUCCUCACAACAGUUGUGGGAGGAAGCCUCUCAAGUGAUGUAUAUGAUAUCCACUUGACAUCUUGAAUGAAGGACAUAAUAAUCAGAUUUAAUCCCUUUUCACACAAAAAAGGAAAUAAUUGGAUCCAGAGGGGUUUUAGCAUAUCUUUAUUAUCAUUAUUUUCUAGUGGAAAUCUUUUUAAAAAUAUGAAAAGAGAAAAGGUGCAUCC